UAAUUUAAUCCUCAGUACGAGACCCCAUGCUAUGGUUUGAAUGUUUAUCCCCUUCAAAAUUUCUGUUGAAACUUCAUCCCUAGUGUGGCAGUAUCGAGAGGUGGGGGCUUUAAGAAGGGAUUUGGUCAUGAGGACUCUGACCUCAUGAAUGGAUUAACUCAUUCAUGGAUUAGUGGAUUAAUGAGUUACCAUGGGAGUGGGUCUGGUGGCUUUAUAAGAGGAGGAAGAGAGACCUGAGCUAGCAUGCUCAGCCCCCUCACCCCCUGUACUACCUUGGGACUCUGCAGAGUCCUCGACAGUAAGAAGGCUCUCACCUGUUAUGCCCCUGGACCUUGGACUUCUCAGCCUCCAUAACUGGUGCCUGUGCAGCAGUAUUCACUGUGAUAGGAAGUGAGAAGCAGUCUGAGUGUUCAUUGCUGAGGGAAUCAAGGGCAAAAUAUCAUGGAUGCACUCAUGGACAAAUAAGCAGCAGUUUGAAGCAACACCCUAGAUGGAUGUACAGCCAUCAAGAGGAUCUUAAAGUGUGGUCUUUAGUGGAAAAAAAGGUUACAUUUGAACAUAUUUAUCUGCUAAAGCGAAAUGUUUCCCAUCAUUCUAUAGCAGAAGCAAUGUAUGGGAGACUGAGUAAUUACAUAUGAGCUCACAUCACUAUCUCUUCCACCACUGUCAUCCAUCAUGACUGAUCUGGGAGAUGAAACAGCACAGAUCUAAAGGACGUGGUAAGAAUCGAGAUCACCAGAGAUCAGUAGAUACUUGCAUACUUGGAGGAUUAACACUGUCUGGAUUCCAACGAUCAGCUGAGUAUGUUCAAGAUAAAGCUAUAGUACAUAUUUUAGAUUGGGAAUUGGCAACAAAUAGCUGUAGACUACCUUCUGAGGAAUAAGUGUUUUCACAUGUGUGGGUGUCAUUUCUAAUCCCAGCAUCACAGUCAGGUCCAGAUACCUGUUUCUGAUCUUUGGUCCUAUGCCUAAUCUCCUCCAAGAGUCCUUCCCUGGAUCUCCUAUCUAAGCAAGAUGCUCGAUGCCCACCAAUGAGUACUGCACCAAGUUCAUUUCCACUAGCCUGUGUUACAAUUUGUGUUUCUGUAUGUUUCCCUUACUUGUUAUUCUUUGUCUUCCCCAUUAGACUGAAAGCACCGCCACGGGGACCGUGUCUAGGACAUAGGAGGUCCUUAAUAAAUAUUUCUUGAGUGGAUAAAUGGUGAACCAUAGGGGUGGCAUAAGAGCAAAUAGAGGGUAGAUGAGCACUAAUCCAUUCACCACCCUGUUUAUGGGUGGUGGACCUUGGAUGGCCUUUUUCAUAGUCAAAACAUACUUUUUAGAUCUGCCUUCUUGGGAUGUAUUCAAGGAUGCUAGCCGUGUUUGAGACUGUAAAUAUGUCUAGUGAAUAGGGCUUCAGGCUGUGUGUGUUUGCCUUGUUUUGCACAGAAUUCGGCACAGCCCCAAGCACAGAUGGGUGCUUCAUAAAUAUUGUUGAAGGAUGAUGACACAAAGGAUUAUUUAAUACCUCUGACCUCAGGCCACAAACAUACUUUCAAUGUGUUUUACUUCUGAAAUCAUUUGAACCAGAAUGUUUCAGCAACACAGAUUCAUCUGCAACCACAAAUCAGACACAUUUAGAAUGACAAAGCCCCAAAAGAAUGCCAUUUUCAAGGCUGAAACUGUAUUAUUCUGGGCUAAAUGGAAUCCUUGUUUUAGUGACACUGUAAGAGUAGAAAUUAAAGACACUGAAAAUCUUCCCUUGGGGAACCACAAUUAUCUGUGAACAAUGAAAGUUUGUCUGAAUAAUUCAUCAGCCUCAAGGGUACAGGCCUCCCCUUAUUCUGGAAUCCCAGGAGUUUAGGCAAGUGUGUCAUUUAAUGGGUCUCAACUGUGUCCUCAGUUGUUAUUAUUCCAGGGCCUGGCAUUUAUGGGCACAUUCCUAUAAUUUUACUAAUUAAAAAAAAAUAAGCUAUAUGGGAAACCACUGUCAAGGUCAAAAUUUUGAAGCUGCAUUGAUUUUACCUAGGAAGAAAGAAGCUUAUAAAGUGUCCAUCAUGAGAAUCCACCUGGGACCUACACAACAGAUCAAAUACCCAGAACAAAUCACCACGUCAGAGCCCCACAGAAUUCUGAUUCCCAACCAACAAGCAUGAGUAAUCCUUUUAAAUGGUCACUUACAUAUCAGAACAGGUCCUUUGUGAAAUUUCUAAGCAAGGCCUCUGGUUUCUGACUGAAACAGAGAUUUAUUGAGAAGGAGGGGUAAAGUGAAAUCAAGAACUGCUGGGAAAUUUCCACAAGAAACAAGGACAAAUGGUUUUUGUUGUCAGAGUAAAACCAGCCUCCCCUAGCCAUGGUUUGGAAAGUUAUUUGCUAGCCCACAGGGGACAAUAUUCUCAACUGGUUUAUCAGGGACCCUUUUGAUCCAAUUAUAGUUAUUGGGCAGAUACAGUAGUACCCUAUUAUCAGAAGACCUAGUUUCAAAUCCUGAGUCAACUUCUAAUUCACUGUGUGACCUUGUACAAGUCACUUAAGCUCUCUGAUCAUUGGUUCAACAUCUUUAAUAUGAGGAGAGUAAUGCCUAUCUCAAUUACCUCAUAAAAUUAUUGCAAAGAUCAAGUGAGUUGAUAUGUUACAAAUUAUUUCUAAAUUAUAAGAUUCUGUAUAAGUGGAAGGGUUAAAUAUACUCCCAUAUUAUUAAAUACCCUACGUAUCACUCAGGAUUCUAUAUGACUCUGAGUUCUCAAUUUCUAGAAAUGGUCCCAUUUUUACUUUGUUCCCUACAAUUCUACGGAGUCUUUUUUUUUUUUAAAGGAAGGGUGUAGGCAAAGGUAAAUGGGAGAAAACAUGGAAUCACAUACCACUCUUUGGUGCUGCUAGGCAAGAAUUUUAAACUGAGUUUAGGUCACCAUCGUGGACUUAAGGUCCAUAUCACCUCAGGGAGACAAGUAGAGUGGGAGGCAUCCAAAAGGUAGGUGAUUCUUCUCCCCUCUAGUGAAGAAUACAAGGUCAAUUUACAAAAAAGCACCAGCAGCAAAUAAUUGGAAAAUUAAAUUCAUAAAACAUUUAUAAUAGCGUCAAAAAAAA
rnacentral:lncRNA from 1 species